UACAGAGGUCUCAAGCGUUGUUCGGAUUCAUUGGGCGUAAAGGGUGCGUAGGCGGCGCGGUAAGUCGGGUGUGAAAUCUCGGGGCUCAACCCCGAAACUGCACUUGAUACUGCCUUGCUAGAGUACUGGAGAGGAGAUUGGAAUUUACGGUGUAGCAGUGAAAUGCGUAGAUAUCGUAAGGAAGACCAGUGGCGAAGGCGGGGUCUCUGGACAGUUCCUGACGCUGAGGCACGAAGGUCAGGGGAGCAAACGGG
rnacentral:rRNA from 1 species